UCAGCCUGCAUGUGUGCCUGCAGGCUAGAAGAGGGCACCAGAUCUCAUUACAGAUGGUUGUGAACCACCAUGUGGUUGCUGGGAAUUGAACUCAGGACCUCUGGAUGAACAGCCACUGCUCUUAACCUCUGAGCCACCUCUCCAGCCCUUGUUUUUUUUUUAAAGUAGGAUCUAGGGAUCAAUCACACCUUCAUGUUUGUGGCAAGCACUUUACUGUCGUUGGGGAGCUAACUCCUCAACUCUUUUAUUUUCUUAAAUGUUGAGAAACUGUUAUCAUUAAGACCUGAGCUCAUUUUGUACCACAGCCAGGCCCUGAACUUUGGAUCCUCUGCCUCAGCCUUCCAAAUAGCUGGGAUUAAAGGCUAGCAGGUCUAGCUUCACCUCAGUAAUUUUAAAGAGAAUUUAGUUCUUCUGAAAACCUCUGAGAAUCUGUACUAGCCAAAUGUCACUCCCAAGUCUCAAACUCAAGGUCUUAUGUGGAAACCAGAUACUCACCUGCAGAUUGGAGAGUUGUGUGAAGGCCUUCUCACAGCCCGGGUGUGCACAUUUGUAUGGUCUAUCACCGGUGUGGAUUCUGCAGAGGAUGAAAAAAGGAGUACGGCCAUCAGCAAGGUCACUAUAGAUUAGCUCCGUACCAGACUCAGGUUCUUCAGGUUGUCUCCUGAGGAAGCUGCUCAGAUGCACCUGCAUGAGGCACUAGCUUUAGCUCCUCUCUGACCUGGAGUGGUUUCAAGUGCCUGAUUUCUGGUCACUGUCUGUAGCACUGAGCUCAAGGAGAGCCUCAUUGUGCUGGGAGAAAAGGGACUGAGGCCUCGGCAUCCAGGACACAGGCAGAUCAUGAUUUGGUAUAUAAAUCUGCUCCUACAGUAACCAUCCCGCAGUGAAUGUUCAGAAACAAAAGGUAACUACAAUUGUAAGGAAAAAAGAAAAAUACAUAACACUUCCUCCUUGGUCCCCAGAAACUGUUCCUUCAACCUUGAGCAUCAUAGCCAGAGAUAGUUCUGAAAUCAAAGGACAAGUUACAAUGAUUGUUGAAAGUAGUGGUGACAUUAGUGGAAACUCAUGGAAAUUCCUAGGGAUUUUUUCCCCCAGUUUAAGCCCUUACCAACAGGAAAUCCUGAGGUUAGAACCAAUCUAACCUUCCCUACACCACAGGGAAUCUUGAGCUUAUCUACUAAGAUAAGCUCAAGACAGGAGGAUGUACCAACACCUGCUCCUUUUCAGGGACUUCAGAACCAUCUGUGAUAAAGCCUCAAAUGUAUGAAGACAGUAAACUCAAGACAGUGUCUGAUCACUUUUGGUGACGGCUAAAGAGAUGGAGAUGGAAAGUACCAGAACUGUUUGGAGGGGCUUUCCCAACCCAUAUCUGAUCUCUACCCCAUAGCUGAUGUUCCAUUAAUCACCUGCCCUGCUCCCAGUCUCAAGCCAAUCAAAUCAGACCCACUUUUGAAACAAGCCAAGGUAACGGUUAGUAGUAGAUUAUAAUCCUUAAAACUUAACAAGAAAAAAGAAUUGAAAAGUAAUGACACUCUAUGCUAAACCUUUCCUUUUUCUUAGCACAUGGAGACAAUGCUGCCACCCCUGGGUUAAUGAACAGCACCUGAAUACCCUUUUUCUAGUCACCUGACUCAGUGGAUGCUUCCUGUUCUGACACUACUCAACAAUAUCAAAUGAGGAGGUCUCUCUCAGAGUUAAGCCAUAUCCUCUUAGACUUUGCUGAGUACAAGCUUUCUAUACCUGAGUUAGAAACAGCUUGCCAGGGCACACUGUGAGUUAGCAGAAAGGGAGGUGGUCUGAAGCCAGGCCACGGGGGUAAGCUGCUCUCCUCUCCACCUUAUCUUUGUAAACUGGGCAUCAAAGGGUAUGGGAUGAUGAUUCUUGCAUUCUUUUCAUUUCAGAAGAAUGUUUUGAAAAUAGCUGUGAUCGAGACUAGAACAAAUUCCCUCUGAGAAAAUGGUAUCACUGUUGUGGUCUCUGUAUUAAUGCUUUCACUAAGAUCCUAGUGACUGAUAACCAAUUUUCAAAGUCUGAAGAAAACUCUGACUACCAGUUUAUCAGUCAUUGGCUAUCGAAUGAGACACCCAAACACUGCAGGAAAGAUCAGCAUGGUCCAAAGUAAAGAGUCAAUGGGAGUCCAGACACCCGGCUCUAGUCCAACAGAGUCAGUUGCAGGUUGCCCGUUAACCUACAUCUCAGUCUUCUGCUCUUUAAAAUGAAGAUACUCACUUUUGCCUCUAGAAGGGCCAGCAAGCACCCAGGACCAUCAAAGGUAAGCUAAAUGUUCUUUAUUAAUAAAAUGCCAUUAUUGCUAACA